AUUGAACGCUGGCGGCAUGCUUUACACAUGCAAGUCGAACAGCAGCGCGGGCUUCGGCCUGGCGGCGAGUGGCGAACGGGUGAGUAAUACAUCGGAACGUGCCCAGUAGUGGGGGAUAGCUCGGCGAAAGCCGGAUUAAUACCGCAUACGACCUGAGGGUGAAAGCGGGGGAUCUUCGGACCUCGCGCUAUUGGAGCGGCCGAUGGCAGAUUAGCUAGUUGGUGGGGUAAAGGCCUACCAAGGCGACGAUCUGUAGCUGGUCUGAGAGGACGACCAGCCACACUGGGACUGAGACACGGCCCAGACUCCUACGGGAGGCAGCAGUGGGGAAUUUUGGACAAUGGGCGAAAGCCUGAUCCAGCAAUGCCGCGUGUGUGAUGAAGGCCUUCGGGUUGUAAAGCACUUUUGGCGGGAACGAAAAGGACUGUGCCAAUACCACGGUUCGAUGACGGUACCCGCAGAAUAAGCACCGGCUAACUACGUG
rnacentral:rRNA from 1 species